rnacentral:rRNA from 1 species
UCUGGUUGAUCCUGCCAGUAGCAUAUGCUUGUCUCAAAGAUUAAGCCAUCAUGUCUAAGUAUAAAUAGUAUACAGUGAAACUGCGAAUGGCUCAUUAAAACAGUUAUAGUUUAUUUGAUAGUGGAAGCCUACAUGGAUAACCGUAGUAAUUCUAGAGCUAAUACAUGCGUCCAAACCUGACUGAAUUGAAAGGUUGUAUUUAUUAGAUACGAAGCCAAUACCCUCUCGGGGGUGUUGUGGUGAGUCAUAGUAACUGAUCGAAUCUCUCAUCUGAGAGAUAAAUCAUUCAAGUUUCUGCUCUAUCAGCUUUCGAUGGUAGUGUAUUGGACUACCAUGGCAGUCACGGGUAACGGAGAAUUAGGGUUCGAUUCCGGAGAGGGAGCCUGAGAAACGGCUACCACAUCUAAGGAAGGCAGCAGGCGCGUAAAUUACCCAAUCCUGACUCAGGGAGGUAGUGACAAGAAAUAACAACCCGGGGGAUUCACAUCCUUACGGGAUUGCAAUGAGAACAAUUUAAAUCACUUAACGAGGAUCAAUUGGAGGGCAAGUCUGGUGCCAGCAGCCGCGGUAAUUCCAGCUCCAAUAGUGUAUAUUAAAGUUGUUGCAGUUAAAAAGCUCGUAGUUGAACUUCUGACAGUGUGCAGUUUUGGUUUCUAUCAGGCUGCAUUGCUGUCAUCCGUCUGCAAACUCUGUUCAAUCUUCGCUGGUUGGCAGGGGGAGUAGACAUUUUACUUUGAAAAAAUUAGAGUGUUUCAAGCAGGUUAUUGCCAGAAUACUUUAGCAUGGAAUAAUGGAAUAGGACUCUUGUCCAUUUGGUUGGUUAUUGGACCAGAGUAAUGAUUAACAGGGACAGUUGGGGGCAUUAGUAUUUAAUUGUCAGAGGUGAAAUUCAUGGAUUUAUUAAAGACUAACUUAUGCGAAAGCAUUUGCCAAGGAUGUUUUCAUUAAUCAAGAACGAAAGUUAGGGGAUCAAAGACGAUCAGAUACCGUCCUAGUCUUAACUAUAAACGGUGUCGACUCGGGAUUGGAAAGGUUUCCAAUUAUCCUUUCCAGCACCGUAUGAGAAAUCAUUAAGUCUUUGGAUUCUGGGGGGAGUAUGGUCGCAAGGCUGAAACUUAAAGGAAUUGACGGAAGAGCACCACCAGGCGUGGGACCUGCGGCUUAAUUUGACCCAACACGGGAAAACUUAUUUCAGCAAACCAUGAGUGGGAUUGACAGAUUGAGAGCUCUUUCUUGAUUUUAUGGGGUGUGGUGCAUGGCCGUUCUUAGUUGGUGGAGUGAUUUGUCUGGUUAAUUCCGUUAACGAACGAGACCUUAACCUGCUAACUAGUCAGUGUGUUAACCUACGCUCUGUACUUCUUAGAGGGACUAUGGGUAAUAAGCCCAUGGAAGUUUGAGGCAAUAACAG